rnacentral:rRNA from 1 species
GAUUGGCCCGCGUCUGAUUAGCUAGUUGGUGAGGUAAUGGCUCACCAAGGCGACGAUCAGUAGCUGGUCUGAGAGGAUGAUCAGCCACAUUGGGACUGAGACACGGCCCAAACUCCUACGGGAGGCAGCAGUGGGGAAUAUUGGACAAUGGGCGCAAGCCUGAUCCAGCCAUGCCGCGUGAGUGAUGAAGGCCCUAGGGUUGUAAAGCUCUUUUGUGCGGGAAGAUAAUGACGGUACCGCAAGAAUAAGCCCCGGCUAACUUCGUGCCAGCAGCCGCGGUAAUACGAAGGGGGCUAGCGUUGCUCGGAAUCACUGGGCGUAAAGGGUGCGUAGGCGGGUCUUUAAGUCAGGGGUGAAAUCCUGGAGCUCAACUCCAGAACUGCCUUUGAUACUGAGGAUCUUGAGUUCGGGAGAGGUGAGUGGAACUGCGAGUGUAGAGGUGAAAUUCGUAGAUAUUCGCAAGAACACCAGUGGCGAAGGCGGCUCACUGGCCCGAUACUGACGCUGAGGCACGAAAGCGUGGGGAGCAAACAGGAUUAGAUACCCUGGUAGUCCACGCCGUAAACGAUGAAUGCCAGCCGUUAGUGGGUUUACUCACUAGUGGCGCAGCUAACGCUUUAAGCAUUCCGCCUGGGGAGUACGGUCGCNAGAUUAAAACUCAAAGGAAAUGACGGGGGCCCGCACAAGCGGUGGAGCAUGUGGUUUAAUUAGACGCAACGCGCAGAACCUUACCAGCCCUUGACAUGUCCAGGACCGGUCGCAGAGAUGUGACCUUCUCUUCGGAGCCUGGAACACAGGUGCUGCAUGGCAGUCGUCAGCUCGUGUCGUGAGAUGAUGGGUUAAGUCCCGCAACGAGCGCAACCCCCGUCCUUAGUUGCUACCAAUUAGUUAAGCACUCUAAGGAGACUGCCGGUGAUAAGCCGCGAGGAAGGUGGGGAUGACGUCAAGUCCUCAUGGCCCUUACGGGCUGGGCUACACACGUGCUACAAUGGCGGUGACAAUGGGACGAUAAGGGGCAACCCUUCGCAAAUCUCAAAAAGCCGUCUCAGUUCGGAUUGGGCUCUGCAACUCGAGCCCAUGAAGUUGGAAUCGCUAGUAAUCGUGGAUCAGCACGCCACGGUGAAUACGUUCCCGGGCCU